ensembl:lncRNA
AUGAUCUUGUAUCUCGGCGCAGUGGCCCUCGGGGAAGUCGACUGUAAUUGGACGAACUCAUCACCUAAUGUGCCGGCAGCGAGGAGCUCCGCCCUUCAUCAUCACAAUGACCUUCAUCUGCCUCCACGUCUUCACAACAAGACACAGAUCUCAGAAACAGUCAAAGCACCAAACCUCAAGCACAAAAGUCCAAAAGUGUGGACGGCAGUCGACUCCUACACGCAGAGUGAAGCUGAUGCUGUCGGUGAUAAUCGAGGUGGCUGGAAUCCCGUCCAACAUUCAGGUGUCCUCACACAUCCCCUGCAAACCGGGAGCAGGUUAUGGGAAUAUGUGUUCUGGGAAAUGAGGAACGGCUCUGCGUUGGUGGUCUCGAGGGGCGAUGGCCGGCUGGCCUCGAGCAGAAUACUCACACUGCUGUGACGGUGACCCUCCUCGCCUCACGUUCAGCUCAUUUAAAUGUAAACAGUCGCAGAGCUACAUUUUAUAUCACAGGUGCAUGUAUGCAGCAAUAUGUGGCACUAUGUGUGUGUGUUAACAUGUGACGGCUACUAUUUAUCACCAGUGAUUAUAUAUCCAGCAAGCAGCCUUGGUGAAGAAUUUAAAAUGGUAUAUCUAGGCUAGUAGCAGACUUUUUUUUUGCAAGUAUGCAAAUGCUUUGCUGAUGCAUUCAAACUGUACGCCUGUUGAACAUAUACUUGGCACGUGCUCUUGCAUUACUGAAAACCGAUGACCAAGUUGAAAUGUUUGAGAAACAUCCAAGAAAAGCAAUUAAAUUCAAUUCAAAUAGAAG